rnacentral:rRNA from 1 species
GACGAACGCUGGCGGCGUGCCUAAUACAUGCAAGUCGAACGCAGUGGGGACGGGUGAGUAACACGUGGGUAACCUCCCAUCAGAGGGGAUAACACUUGGAAACAGGUGCUAAACCGAUACUGAUGGAUGGACCCGCGGUGCAUUAGCUAGUUGGUGAGGUAACGGCUCACCAAGGCCACGAUGCAUAGCUGACCUGAGAGGGCGUUCGGCAACACUGGGACUGAGACACGGCCCAGACUCCUACGGGAGGCAGCAGUGGGGAAUUUUGGACAAUGGGUGAAACCCUGAUCCAGCCAUCCCGCGGGUAUGAUGAAGGCCGUCGGGUUGUAAAGUACUUUUGGCAGAGAAGCGGUAUCUGCAGAAUAAGCAUCAGCUAACUGCGUGCCAGCAGCCGCGGUAAUAC